GCGCUUACUUUGGCAGCACAUACACUAAAAUUGGAAUGAUACAGAGAAAAUUAGCAUGGUCCCUGUGAAACUGACAUGCAAAUUUGUGAAGCAUUCCAUGUUUUU